rnacentral:rRNA from 1 species
CAGCCGUAAACUAUGCGCGUUAGGUGUAUCGGUGACCACGAGUUACCGAGGUGCCGAAGGGAAACCGUGAAACGUGCCGCCUGGGAAGUACGGUCGCAAGGCUGAAACUUGAAGGAAUUGGCGGGGGAGCACCACAACGGGUGGAGCCUGCGGUUUAAUUGGACUCAACGCCGGGAAGCUCACCGGAUAAGACAGCGGAAUGAUUGCCGGGCUGAAGACUCUGCAUGACUAGCUGAGAGGAGGUGCAUGGCGUAGACGUCU